rnacentral:rRNA from 1 species
UACGGAGGGUGCGAGCGUUGUUCGGAUUUACUGGGCGUAAAGGGCGCGUAGGCGGUCAGCACAAGUCAGUUGUGAAAUCUCCGGGCUUAACUCGGAAAGGUCAACUGAUACUGUGCGACUAGAGUGCGGAAGGGGCAACUGGAAUUCUCGGUGUAGCGGUGAAAUGCGUAGAUAUCGAGAGGAACACCUGCGGCGAAGGCGGGUUGCUGGGCCGACACUGACGCUGAUGCGCGAAAGCCAGGGGAGCGAACGGG